GGUCCAUGUUAGCUAUAUAUCCUCCUAACAGUUUAACUGUCCUAUGUUAUGCCACCCUCACAUCUACCACGUCAGGGCUGCCCACUGAAAAGGGCUGGACAUGGCAGGGCAGGAAGAAACCAGACCCUUGUGAAAAGCCUGGCAAAAAGUUGACAGAAGAUAUGUGCUGGGGGAUGUCUUUCUGUAUGCUGUGAAUAUAUGUUGUUCCCAUUGGUUAAUAAAGAAGCUGCUCUGGCCUAUGGCAAGUCAGGUUAUAGUCAGGCAGGAAAUCCAAGAGAGAGACAGGAAGAAGAAAGGCAAAGGCAGAGUCUAGAGAGACGCCAGCAUGGCCAGAAGCAAGAUGUAAAAAUACUGGUAAGCCGUGAGCUACACUAUGGCGGGUUCAUGGAGCGCAGGCUUGAGCUACAGCGUGGCGGGUCCCCUCCGAGGUACACAGAGAUUUCUCCAAGCCCUGCAUCGCAAAGAUGAGAACUUAUGGAUUGCUUCCAGGCUAAGAUGGUUUGACCACUGAAGACCCCUGAAAGAUCUCCAAUAACACCAUGGCCCAGAUGAUCCGACAUCCAGAACAGCUUCAAGGCAACUGACUCAGACAAUGCAGCCUCACAAACUACUCCAGUCAGGACUUGACCAUAAUUCUUAAUUUUCUCAGGAUCCCCAUAAGAUUGCCAGCACCCCCAACCAGCAGGAAGUAGUAUGAAAAGCUAUGUCCAAAUUUCCAAAAUAUUGUUUAUAAUUGUUUAUUUUUAUUUAAAGGGGAGGGACAAUGGAAGACAAAGGGGCAGGACAAUGGAAGACAAAGGGGCAGGACAAUGGAAGACAAAGGGGCAGGACAAUGGAAGACAAAGGGGCGGGACAAUGGAAGACAAAGGGGCAGGACAAUGGAAGAGAUGGAAAACAGCACAGAGCAUUCUCACGUGUCUUGGGCAGUUUAACAUAGGUGACAUGGGGGAAACAGUUUGGGAACACGGA